rnacentral:rRNA from 1 species
GCCUUCGGGUUGUAAAGCACUUUUAUCAGGAGCGAAAUGCCAUGGGCUAAUACCCCGUGGAGCUGACGGUACCUGAGGAAUAAGCACCGGCUAACUUCGUGCCAGCAGCCGCGGUAAUACGAAGGGUGCAAGCGUUAAUCGGAAUUACUGGGCGUAAAGGGUGCGUAGGCGGUUCGUUAAGUCUGUCGUGAAAUCCCCGGGCUCAACCUGGGAAUGGCGAUGGAUACUGGCGAGCUAGAGUGUGUCAGAGGAUGGUGGAAUUCCCGGUGUAGCGGUGAAAUGCGUAGAGAUCGGGAGGAACAUCAAUGGCGAAGGCGACCAUCUGGGACAACACUGACGCUGAUGCACGAAAGCGUGGGGAGCAAACAGGAUUAGAUACCCUGGUAGUCCACGCCCUAAACGAUGCAACUGGAUGUUGGUCUCAACUCGGAUAUCAGUGUC